rnacentral:misc_RNA from 1 species
UCCGGCUUAACGCCGGCAGUCUCGCUAGAGUCCCCAGCAUGACCUGAUGGCAACUAACGACAGGGGUUUCGCUCGUUAAGGGACUUAACCCGACACUUCACAGCACGAGCUGACGACAGCCAUGCAACACCUGUGCAAGUUUCACCCCGAAGGGCAACCUUAUGAGUUAUCCCCGUAAGGCAUCCAAGCAUGUCAAACCCGGGUAAGGUUCUUCGCGUUGCUUCGAAUUAAGCCACAUGCUCCACCGCUUGUGUGAGCCCCCGUCAAUUCCUUUGAGUUUUAGCCUUGCGGCCGUACUCCCCAGGCGGCACACUAAGCACUUUGGCUUCGGCGCGGAAGACGUCAGUGUCACCCGCACCCAGUGUGCAUCGUUUACAGCGUGGACUAC